rnacentral:rRNA from 1 species
AGUGAACGCUGGCGGUAGGCCUAACACAUGCAAGUCGAACGGCAGCACAGGAGAGCUUGCUCUCUGGGUGGCGAGUGGCGGACGGGUGAGGAAUACAUCGGAAUCUACUCUGUCGUGGGGGAUAACGUAGGGAAACUUACGCUAAUACCGCAUACGACCUACGGGUGAAAGCAGGGGAUCUUCGGACCUUACGCGAUUGAAUGAGCCGAUGUCGGAUUAGCUAGUUGGCGGGGUAAAGGCCCACCAAGGCGACGAUCCGUAGCUGGGCUGAGAGGAUGAUCAGCCACACUGGAACUGAGACACGGUCCAGACUCCUACGGGAGGCAGCAGUGGGGAAUAUUGGACAAUGGGCGCAAGCCUGAUCCAGCCAUACCGCGUGGGUGAAGAAGGCCUUCGGGUUGUAAAGCCCUUUUGUUGGGAAAGAAAUCCAGCUGGCUAAUACCCGGUUGGGAUGACGGUACCCAAAGAAUAAGCACCGGCUAACUUCGUGCCAGCCGCCGCAGUAAAAC